GGAAGUACAAGUCGUAACAAGGUAUCCGUAGGUGAACCUGCGGAUGGAUCAUUAACAAAGAUUUUAAAAAGUCUUGUGAACUGUAUAUUAGAACGUUGUCUAGACUAGGCGACCUUGCGUAGUCUAGCCUAGGCAACACCCAAACGUAUAUAAACUUAACCUGACGUCUACCUUUAGCGUAGUAAAUACUAAACUAAAGACAACUUUUAGCAACGGAUCUCUUGGCUCUC
rnacentral:misc_RNA from 1 species